GAUGAACGCUGGCGGCGUGCCUAAUACAUGCAAGUCGAGCGAACAGAUGAGGAGCUUGCUCCUCUGACGUUAGCGGCGGACGGGUGAGUAACACGUGGAUAACCUACCUAUAAGACUGGGAUAACUUCGGGAAACCGGAGCUAAUACCGGAUAAUAUAUUGAACCGCAUGGUUCAAUAGUGAAAGACGGUUUUGCUGUCACUUAUAGAUGGAUCCGCGCCGCAUUAGCUAGUUGGUAAGGUAACGGCUUACCAAGGCAACGAUGCGUAGCCGACCUGAGAGGGUGAUCGGCCACACGGGAACUGAGACACGGUCCAGACUCCUACGGGAGGCAGCAGUAGGGAAUCUUCCGCAAUGGGCGAAAGCCUGACGGAGCAACGCCGCGUGAGUGAUGAAAGUCUUCGGAUCGUAAAACUCUUUUAUUAGGGAAGAACAAAUGUGUAAGUAACUAUGCACGUCUUGACGGUACCUAAUCAGAAAGCCACGGCUAACUACGUG
rnacentral:rRNA from 1 species